GGCCACCAGCGUUGCUGCCGCCAGUGGCGAUUGUGUUCGAAAUUCGAAAUUGUAUUUGAGGAGAAUUAAAUCAUUGUUCAUCGACAAAUUUAAAACAGCUAGCAACUCAACAUUGGUUUGUUGCUCUAAAUCAAUAUGAAUCGGCCAGAAAUUGGUCAAAAUCCACAUCAACUGCAAGUUGUAAUCUUAACAGUGCCAGUUGAUAGUAAUCUUCCUUUACAAGUUGUGCGAGCAAUUUUGCAAAGUAUGGAAGCGAUUGCUCCUCCACCAACUGGCGGAGAUAAUGAAGUAUCUAUUCAUUUCAAGGAAGGGACUGAAGCACAGAAUGAAUCAAUGGAUAUUGAUUGAUAUUCAAACUUGAACAUACACUUUAGUGAAUAUGUAUAGUUUUAACGAAAGUAAAAUAUGGCAUGGCCUUAUAUUCAAUGCUUAUGAUCUUCUACAAUUUUCUAUGCUUUAGAACAUAUAAUCCGCACUUUGUUUUACUGACUUUAGUCAAAAUUUAGCUGCUAAAAAAAAUAAAAGAAACUUGUUACACUGUGUA